CCUACGGGUGGCAGCAGUGGGGACUAUUGCACAAUGGGGGAAACCCUGAUGCAGCGACGCCGCGUGAGUGAAGAAGUAUUUCGGUACGUAAAGCUCUAUCAGCAGGGAAGAAAAUGACGGUACCUGACUAAGAAGCACCGGCUACAUACGUGCCAGCAGCCGCGGUAAUACGGAGGGGGCACGCGUUAUCCGGAUUUACUGGGUGUAAAGGGAGCGUAGACGGCAGCGCAAGUCUGGAGUGAAAUCCCAUGGCUUAACCAUGGAACUGCUUUGGAAACUGUGCAGCUAGAGUGCAGGAGAGGGAGGCGGAAUGCCGAGUGUAGCGGUGAAAUGCGUAGAUAUUAGGAGGAACACCAGUGGCGAAGGCGGCUUACUGGACUGUAACUGACGUUGAGGCUCGAAAGCGUGGGGAGCGAACAGGAUUAGAUACCCUAGUAGUC
rnacentral:rRNA from 1 species